rnacentral:tRNA from 1 species
GGUAAGAUGGCUGAGUGAAUUAAGCGGUGGAUUGUAGCUCCAUGUACAGAGGUUAAAGUCCUCUUCUUAUCA